CGGGGCGUAGCGCAGACUGGUAGCGCGCUUGCUUGGGGUGCAAGAGGUCGGGGGUUCAAAUCCCCCCGCCCCGACCA
rnacentral:tRNA from 1 species